CGAGUCGCAAGACCGCGAGGUUUAGCAAAUCUCUUAAAGCCGUUCUCAGUUCGGAUUGUAGGCUGCAACUCGCCUACAUGAAGUCGGAAUCGCUAGUAAUCGCGGAUCAGCAUGCCGCGGUGAAUACGUUCCCGGGCCUUGUACACACCGCCCGUCACACCAUGAGAGUUUGUAACACCCAAAGCCGGUGGGGUAACCUUUUGGAGCCAGCCGUCUAAGGUGGGACAGAUGAUUGGGGUGAAGUCGUAACAAGGUACC
rnacentral:rRNA from 1 species